rnacentral:rRNA from 1 species
AAUCAACGCUGGCGGCGUGCCUCAGACAUGCAAGUCGAACGCGAAAGGCCCCUUCGGGGGCCGAGUAGAGUGGCGCACGGGUGAGUAACACGUAGGUAAUCUACCUCUGGGUGGGGAAUAACGACCGGAAACGGUCGCUAAUACCGCAUAAUGCAGCGGCACCACAUGGUGACAGUUGUUAAAGCGGGGGAUCGUAAGACCUCGCGCCUAGAGAUGAGCCUGCGGCGGAUAGCUAGUUGGCAGGGUAACGGCCUACCAAGGCGACGAUCCGUAGCCGGCCUGAGAGGGCGGACGGCCACACUGGCACUGACAUACGGGCCAGACUCCUAC